rnacentral:rRNA from 1 species
AACGAACGCUGGCGGCAGGCUUAACACAUUCAAGUCGAGCGCCCCGCAAGGGGAGCGGCAGACGGGUGAGUAACGCGUGGGAACGUGCCCUUUGGUUCGGAACAACUCCGGGAAACUGGAGCUAAUACCGGAUAAGCCCCUCGGGGGAAAGAUUUAUCGCCAAAGGAUCGGCCCGCGGCUGAUUAGCUAGUUGGUGAGGUAAUGGCUCACCAAGGCGACGAUCAGUAGCUGGUCUGAGAGGAUGAUCAGCCACACUGGGACUGAGACACGGCCCAGACUCCUACGGGAGGAAGCAGGGGGGAAUCUUGGACGAUGGGCGCAAGCCUGAUCCAGCCAUGCCGCGUGAGUGAUGAAGGCCUUAGGGUUGUAAAGCUCUUUUGUCCGGGAAGAUAAUGACUGUACCGGAAGAAUAAGCCCCGGCUAACUUCGUGCCAGCCGCCGCCGUAA